rnacentral:rRNA from 1 species
GACGAACGCUGGCGGCGUGCUUAACACAUGCAAGUCGAACGGUGAAGCCUUCGGGUGGAUCAGUGGCGAACGGGUGAGUAACACGUGAGCAAUCUGCCCUUGACUCUGGGAUAACUUCGGGAAACCGGAGCUAAUACCGGAUAUGACAUCUGGCCGCAUGGUCUGGGUGUGGAAAGAUUUAUCGGUCAAGGAUGAGCUCGCGGCCUAUCAGCUUGUUGGUGGGGAAUGGCCCACCAAGGCGACGACGGGUAGCCGGCCUGAGAGGGCGACCGGCCACACUGGGACUGAGACACGGCCCAGACUCCUACGGGAGGCAGCAGUGGGGAAUAUUGCGCAAUGGGCGGAAGCCUGACGCAGCGACGCCGCGUGAGGGAUGAAGGGCC